rnacentral:lncRNA from 10 species
CUCUCAGCAGUAGGGUAAUGGGACUAAGGAAAAGCGCUAAAAGAGGAUUUUUAAAAAUAGGCAGGAAACGGCCGCCCUUCGUCUGGGAGGUGAGGAGCGCCUCUGCCCGGCCGCCCCGUCUGGGAAGUGAGGAGCGCCUCUGCCAGGCCGCCCUGUCUGGGAAGUGUACCCAACAGCUCCGAAGAGACAGCGACCAUCAAGAAUGGGCCAUGAUGACGAUGGCGGUUUUGUCGAAAAGAAAAGGGGGAAAUGUGGGGAAAAGAAAGAGAGAUCAGAUUGUUACUGUGUCUGUGUAGAAAGAAGUAGACAUAGAAGACUCCAUUUUGUUCUGUACUAAGAAAAAUUCUUCUGCCUUGAGUUGCUGUUAAUCUGUAACCUUACCCUGUGUUCCCUGAGACAUGUGGUGUGUCAACUCAGGGUUAAAUGGAUUAAGGGCUGUGCAGGAUGUGCUUUGUUAAACAGAGGCUUGAAGGCAGCAUGCUCCUUAAGAGUCAUCACCACUCCCUAAUCUCAAGUACCCAGGGACACAAACACUGUGGAAGGCCGCAGGGCCCUCUGCCUAGGAAAACCAGAGACCUUUGUUCACGUGUUUAUCUGCUGACCUUCUCUCCACUAUUAUCCUAUGACCCUGCCACAUCCCCCUCUCUGAGAAACACCCAAGAAUGAUCAAUAAAUAAAAAUAAAUAAAUAAAUAAAUAAUAAAAUAAAAUAAAAUAGGCAGGAAAGAAGGAAAAGAAAAGAAAGAAGUUGACAUAAAAAGUGGGGAUGGAAAAAGGAAAUAAAUGAAGGAGGGAAGGAGAGAGAAGGAAGAAGAGAGGAGGGAAGGGGGAAGGAAGGAGGGGAGGAAAGAGGAGAGAACAGAGAAAGAGGAAGGAAAAAGAGGAAAAAGAAGGAAGGGGCUGGGUGUGGUGGCUCACGCCUGUAAUUCCAGCACUUUGGGAGGCCAAGGAGGGCAGAACACCUGAGGUCGGGAGUUCGAGGCCAGCCUGGGCAACAUGGUGAAACCCCAUCUCUACUCAAAAUACAGAAAUUAGCUGAGCGUGGUGGCACGCGCCUAUAAUCCCAGCUACUCGGGAGGCU